UACGUAGGGUGCGAGCGUUAAUCGGAAUUACUGGGCGUAAAGCGUGCGCAGGCGGUGAUGUAAGACAGAUGUGAAAUCCCCGGGCUCAACCUGGGAACUGCAUUUGUGACUGCAUCGCUGGAGUGCGGCAGAGGGGAUGGAAUUCCGCGUGUAGCAGUGAAAUGCGUAGAUAUGCGGAAGAACACCGAUGGCGAAGGCAAUCUCCUGGGCCUGCACUGACGCUCAUGCACGAAAGCGUGGGGAGCAAACAGG
rnacentral:rRNA from 1 species